UAAAAUCUACAGUCCUCGUCACUUUGGCAUCGAAAGUCCCCAAACCACAAAACCCUACCGCCGAUGACGCCAUUGCAAAUCCACUUCUCCACUCCGGUCGCCACUUCUUCUCCAAUUUCUGCCCUAAAUCCGUCACUUCUCUACUUGGGCAAUUACGUGACCUUCUAUGUCGCGUCGUAUUCGAAAAAGGAGCUGAUUGAACUCAAGAAUCGCUUGAACAGAUUCGUCAAUUAAAGAAAUUAAUGACAAUGGAGAUGUUGCUGAUGAUCAUUACCACCGAUUCUUGGAAGAUAUUGAGAUUAUGCAUUCACUUGGAGUAAAUGCGUACCGAUUCUCAAUUUCAUGGUUAGAAUUUUACCAAGUAUGUUCUUAGUAGCAAUUAAUUGAAUGUUAAUGUAGUGAGAUUAAUAUUCAACUACUUGAUGAUAAUGUUCCUGAGCUGUAACAGAAGGCAAAUUUGGUGAAGUUAAUCCAAGUGGAAUCAUGUUUUAUAAUAAUAUUAUAGACCAUCUCUUGCUCACAGGUAAUAUCCUUUUCAAUGAAUCUAUAACUUAAGCACUAGUGUUUUUUUUUUUUUUACAAUAUUCUUGAAGAUGACGAAUAUGAAUUGGUUAAGGCAGGAAUUGAGCCGUUUGUGACCAUAUUCCAUUUUGACUUACCACAAGAACUAGAAGAUAGAUAUGGGUCUUGGCUCAGCCCUCUAAUUCAUUUAACUUCUAUUCACACUCUAUAAGCUUUUCUGUUUCCCUGAAAAAAAAAUGCUCGACUCUAUUUUCAAUAGGUUCUGAAUAUAUGCCCAGUAACUAAGUUCUACCAUUCUCUAAAGGGGUUUCUUCAGUACUUUUGCUUUUAAGAUUGCAAUACCUGGUUGCUCUAAGAUCCCUUAAUCCCUUUCUUGUUCAUUUAGUUAUGAUGAAUCAGUUUUGUUGGUACAGUAUGUGAUUUCAAUGUUCUUGCGGGGAAGAUUUUGUACAUUUUGCCAAAAUAUGCUUCGAGAAUUUUGGUGAUCGAGUUAAUAGUUGGCAACCAUCAACGAGCUGAACCUGUUAAGCGAAAUGGGAUAUGUUAGGGGAUGGUACCCUCCAGCUCACUGUUCAGCACCAUUGGGAAAUUGUUCUGCUGGCAACUCUAAUGUAGAGCCCCUCAUUGUUAUGCACAACAUGUUACUGUCACAUGCCAAGGCUGUUAAGCUAUACCGUGAGCAGUUUCAGGUAAUAGGAUGAGCUUGAAUACUAAAUUGUGAAGUGCUUAUAUGGCAUGAAGAAGGGACAUCAAAUGACAGUGCCCAGCUUGCUGGCUUGUUUGAAACCGCUAGAAAUGUUGAGAUGUCUGAGCAAGAAGAUUGACCUUGAUGAUAAAAAAUUGAUCAUGACUCACUUAUUGGAUCUUUCUUAAGGCCAGCUCUAAGGGGAGGUGCAUUUAUUCCAUGACACUCAUUUUAGCAAUAAAAGAAAUACUUGGAUAAAUGAUGAAGCCAAGGUUCGAUAUGAACAAAUCGUGGAUUGGGUUAUGAUCCAAAACCACCUGCAUCUUCUAAGACUUCAAGGCGAGCCAAUCAAGAAGUUUUAGAGGAAUUCACACACUUGUGUGAGGAGGUGCAAGAACUACGAGGCAUAAGGGAAGAAUUUUGCCAAUAUAGGCAAAUGAUAGAGAAAAUGCAGUAGUUCAUCUCAGUUAAUAUGGGUUCUUGUUCUGAUGGCUCACAGACAUUCCCGGGCCAAUUUACACUAGAUCCUCCACAACCUACAACAAUUUUAGUUUUCAGUUGUUACUUUUUUAUGAAUAUUACAAUUUA